GGAGUUCCGUUAUAAUAACAGAACAUGCAAAUCAUAAUAGUUCAGUUGAAGGGAGUGUUAGCAUUGAAGAGUUGAGAUCGAAGUAGCGUAACGAUCCCGUAAAGACUGUGAAAAUCAUGAAACAAAAAGCACUGACAAAAUCUUCAAUCCCCAAACCCACAAAAUUUUAAAAAUCGGUGAAAAGAAGAAAGUCGGAUGAAAAAAUGAAAUCUAGUAAAAUUGCAAGUACUGUUUUAUCUGAUUUUGAAUUUGAAGAAGAGAAAGUAGAGGAGGUAUUUUGAUGUGUACAAUUUUAUAGUUUCUA
rnacentral:lncRNA from 1 species